UUAAAUCAUUAAAAUUCGUUAAUCUUAAUUAACCUAGAUGAGUAUUUAGAACUUUUUCUUAUUUUUGAGUUUGUAAAAAUUAAAUCUUUCAAGUAAGGUGAACGAUUUUGCUGUGUUUAAUUUAUACAAAAUGUCUCUUUAAAGUUUCAUUAACUCAAAACCUUUCAGCCCAGUGAUUUUGCGUGUGACGUCAUCCAGGGUCACGUACGUUCUCGUGCUUCAUUCGUUUUUUCAAGAUGGCGGAUCGGCUUCGCUUCACACUACAAAUUGAAGGUCCGUUGUUGCUGACUACAGAAAGAUUCUUAUAUGGAGGCAUGUAAAAGCAAGGAAAGUGAAACUUCAACUAGACCUUGAGUUCAGUUUACAAUAUGAAGAUCCUGAUAUCAACAUCUGAUCUUAUCAACACCUGAUUUUCAUCUGAGAGUACCAACAUGUUACAAAUGAGAAUUUUCCCCACAAAUUCUUUGGACAACUGCACCACCACCUAUUUCAUUUGAUGACAAUUUUAAGGCAAACAGCAUCCAAAACUGACAAGACAGCAGAUACCCUGGCUAAUGUUUUGAAGGUUUAUGAUGAGCAGGAACUGCAUGAUGUCAGUUCAUGAUGGACUACUGUUAUCAGAGGUCUUUUGGUCUUGCUGCGUGAGCGUGACUGGGGAUUCUUUAGGACCACCCUGAUUAAUAAUCCUGAAGCGCUGACUGAAGAUGCUUUAUUGGCCCUGCAGUCACUGAGGGUCUCUGCUGUCCUGAAGAAUGAAUUGGACACCACCCACAGCACACUUCCAGACCUUUUUUGUCUUGUUUGGAUUAAUGUAUGCUCUUCACAUAGUAUAUAGUAAAGGACUUUGAACUUGUACAUGGCAUGGAUGAUAGAAAAUAGAAAGUCGAUUAGCAUAGAAUCCUUAAAGAAUGAGUUGAUGUAGAGCCUUUUUUUGUACUCAAUAAAGACUGUCACUGGGGUAGUAACUUCAAAACAUGUAUGUACCUUUAAUUGGUAAU